GGGUGGUUAAGGCAUCCAUUCUGGAACGAGCAACAGUGGCUUGAAUCCCUGCUCAUCUACUUACUGACUGCAUGAUCUGGGAGAAACAUGGAUCUACAACUUCUGCCCCAUGGAAAGUAAAGAAAGAGUUUUGGAAUUGAGCACAAAUAAUUUAGAAACCUUGGGGUUGCUGGAAUAAGAGGAAGAACUAGUAAGAAAUUCACUAAAAAACUGCAGUCAUGGAAAGACCAUCAGAAGAAGUAGGCCAAAGUGAGGAUGCCUGAGUGACCAGGAGAAUGGGCUUCUAUACCUUCCCCUUCCAUCACCACAUUUGAGAGAGGUGUUGCACCGGCCUCUCC